UACGGAGGGAGCUAGCGUUAUUCGGAAUUACUGGGCGUAAAGCGCACGUAGGCGGCUUUGUAAGUUAGAGGUGAAAGCCUGGAGCUCAACUCCAGAACUGCCUUUAAGACUGCAUCGCUUGAAUCCAGGAGAGGUGAGUGGAAUUCCGAGUGUAGAGGUGAAAUUCGUAGAUAUUCGGAAGAACACCAGUGGCGAAGGCGGCCCGCUGGACAUGUAUUGACGCUGAGGAGCGAAAGCGUGGGGAGCGAACAGG
rnacentral:rRNA from 1 species